UUUACAUUAAAAAAAGUGUCAGACGAUUUAACUUUUCUCGUGUUUUUAUCCAGUUUUCAAUUGAAUUGAUUAUUAAUGAUCUUGAAUAAUUUUGGAAGACAAAUUAACAUCGAAAUGUUCUUUUUUUGCUCUUCUCGAUCAACUCGUCUUCAUCUUAGCUUACAUAUGGUACAAAAGAAAGGGAAACAGUUUGCCAAGGACCGAAUCAAGGAGUGUCACCAUAGCCUCACCUUAAUACAAGCUUAAGAUAAUUGUCUUGACAAUUGUCCUCUUCUCUCUCUCUCUUCCUUUCUUUCAACCUUUCUUUGAAUCAUUAAUUUUUAUCGAACCUUCCUUGUACUUUUCACUAACAUCAUCAUCUUACCUCUGUUGUUAUCAUGCAAAUAAGUAAAUAAUACUUGAGAUGGUAACAAAGCUUGGAAAGAUGGUUGAAGCCCGGUAAGAAAGAGGUUGAUCAAUUGCAUUUUACCUAACACUUUGUAAUCUCAUCUUAUAUGUAAGGACAACGACAUCUUAUUAUUUUCUUAUCAUUCUUUUUUUCUUCUCCAAGAUGAUUUACUGAUCCGUUUCAAGGACAGGUCAAAACGUUGAGGUUGAUCUUUACAGUAGCUGGGAAUAUUGAGUUUUAUAUCAUACAUCAUAUUUAUCAUUAUCAAGACCACAUACAGUUAUCAUAGAUGAAAGACUUAAUGUUACGUAUUUGCUGGAAAUACCUUUUUUGCCCAACUCUUUGUCUUUCUCGGAUUACUUGAAGUUGUUGCUGCCAUUUCACACAAGAGAUCACUCAUUUUAUUAUCUUGGCCUUUUUUUACUCCGUAUCGCUGGCGGUCGUUGGAAUCUUCAUUCUAACCAUCCACUCUUCUUCCUCCUCCUACUCCAUCCCAUCAUCAUCAUCAUCAACUUGCCCUUCAAUUUUUUGCUGUUUGACUUGUGUCAAAAAUGAAUGAACUGUCAAAUUAAACGUCAAUAACAUUUAUCAUCACAAAAACAAGCAAACGCCAAUAUUUUGAAUAAUUUGUUUUGCUUUUUGUUUUUGUUUCUAGACUGAUAAGUUCAUCAAAAAACCGGAAACACAAAAGACGAAUAAUUUUACUGUUGAUCUUUAAUUUUCAACUCUCACCAUUAGCAUUGUAAACCAACAACCAGACAAUUUGAUAGAAAUUCAAAUUGCCAGCUUGAAUGGUUAUUAAUAGAUUUCAGUGACUACUUUUUCUCAGAUUUUUCAACCAAUUUUGAAACAUUUAAUUGUGCGCAAGUUGAUGGUGAUGAUAACGCUAACUAAAUGGUAAUUACAGGUUGUUAAGUUCUGUAAACCCAGUUUCCAGGUUUGAACAUAAACUCGUUUCGAGAAGACAUUUGUCAAUGAAAUUGAUUAACCUGAUCAAUGAAGUGUAAUCUGUUUCUCUCUCUGUCAAUCAAAUAAGUUUGGAAAGGGAUAGUGAUAAAAGAUAAUAUAUCUUUGGUUAUACAGAGUUACAAAUAACAUCAUCAUUCACAAUGACAGGAGCAACAACAAAAAGUACCAUGAAUGAUUCGGAAUGAAUACAAUAACUAAUAGCAAGCAAAAAAGUGUCGUGAGUAAAACCAGAUAAUCACAGUGAUUCGUAACUUACAUUUCAACUUUCCUUUCAUCUUGAUCAUCUUUACUCAACUUGUUCUUGCUGUUUAUUAACUUAAUUAGAGAGAAUUAAAAUUGUCACUUUGUCCUGGAAAGUAAGCAAAAGUGGGAAACAUUUUAUCCAUUUUUAAAUCUACUCGUUUCAGCAUAAGUAACAAUUUCAGGAGAUUAUUCAAAGUUUCACAUGCGAAUAGUGAUAAUAUUGUUAUAAAAAAAUUGUUAAAAUGAGCACAAUGUAGAUGUUUAAUUGCAAAAGAAAAUAGUUUCCAAGGGUAAAAUUGAUUAACUUGAUUAACUUAUCAAAAUCAAAUCUUAAUCAAAUCACUUGUCCUUCUGUGAGAGAGUAAACAGUCAUAAAAAUCAGCUGAAGUAACAACCGAAACGAGUUGAAAGUUAAAAAUGGUUAAACAUGUACCUGACUUGGAAUCAAACAAAUGGUCAAGUUAAUGUCCAAUAACUGUCAACCUAAUGAGCUACAAUAAUCAAGCCUAACUAGUCGAUGGUAACCAGAAGAGAUUGAAAACAAAAGGAUUUGUGAUUGGACAAGGGUUCGAUUUCGGCUGCCAAAUGAGGUGACUUAAUGAGCCUUACCAUGAAGAUGACUCUGCAAAGUGAAAGACACACAAAAAAGGUUAAAAUAAUGCUAAAGGGCACAAAAGUAGUAGCAAGAAUUGGGUUGUUGUUUUGACUUCUGUUGAUUGUCUUACCUGAUGAUGGUUACUGUGAAUAUUGUGUGUGUACAAAAAAAAUCUUUUUUCUUCUUCUCUUCCUUCAUCAUCAUAACCAUGAUUAGCUGUGUAGAUGUUUGUGUGUAUAUUUGUGAGGCUCACACAAUGAUAAACUUCAAAUUGUAAUCACACUAAUGACAAUCAGGGAACGUUUAAAGAUGAUUUAAAGAUGCUUCCAUUAAAUGUUACUGUAAAUGCAAA